AGAGUUUGAUCCUGGCUCAGAAUCAACGCUGGCGGCGUGCCUAACACAUGCAAGUCGAACGCGAAAGUGGAGCAAUCCAUGAGUAGAGUGGCAAACGGGUGAGUAACGCGUGGGUGACCUGCCUUCGAGUGGGGGAUAACGCUCCGAAAGGGACGCUAAUACCGCAUAACAUCCUGCCUUUUAAGAGGUGGAAAUCAAAGCCUGGGACCGCAAGGCCAGGCGCUUGAAGAGGGGCCCGCGUCUGAUUAGCUAGUUGGUGGGGUAACGGCUCACCAAGGCUUCGAUCAGUAUCCGGCCUGAGAGGGCGGACGGACACACUGGGACUGAGACACGGCCCAGACUCCUACGGGAGGCAGCAGUGGGGAAUUGUUCGCAAUGGGCGCAAGCCUGACGACGCAACGCCGCGUGGAGGAUGAAGAUCUUCGGGUCGUAAACUCCUUUCGAUCGAGACGAACGGCUUCCGGGUGAACAAUCCGGGAGAGUGACGGUACCGAGAGAAGAAGCCCCGGCUAACUCCGUGCCAGCCGCCGCGGUAAUAC
rnacentral:rRNA from 1 species